rnacentral:rRNA from 1 species
AGAAUUCUCUCCAAGGAUGACACCAAGCUUCAGAAGUUAAAAGAGGAGCAUGGUGAAGAAGUCUACGCCUUGGUAACAAAUGCACUGCUUGAGAUCAACGAGUACGACCCCCGCAGCCGCGUAGGUGUACCAGAGCUGUGGAACAAGAAGGACGGUCGGAGAGCAACACUGGAAGAAACCAUCCAGUUUGUCCUUGAACAGAAGCAGUCAAACAAGAGGAAGCGCUGA